rnacentral:rRNA from 1 species
CGAGAGUUUUAAACUCAAGUGGCGGACGGGUGAGUAACACGUAAGAAUUUACCUUUAGGAGGGGGACAACAGCUGGAAACGGCUGCUAAUACCCCAUAUGCUUUCGAGUAAAAUGGAUUUUUCCGCCUAGAGAGAAGCUUGCGGCUGAUUAGCUUGUUGGUAAGGUAAUGGCUUACCAAGGCGACGAUCAGUAUCUGGUUUGAGAGGACGAUCAGACACACUGGAACUGAGACACGGUCCAGACUCCUACGGGAGGCAGCAGUGGGGAAUUUUCCGCAAUGGGCGAAAGCCUGACGGAGCAAUCUCGCGUGAGGGAUGACUGCCUAUGGGUUGUAAGCCUCUUUUUUCAGGGAGGAAUUAAUGACGUUACCUGAAGAAUAAGCAUCGGCUAACUCCGUGCCAGCAGCCGCGGUAAGACGGAGGAUGCAAGUGUUAUCCGGAAUCACUGGGCGUAAAGCGUCUGUAGGUGGUUUAAUAAGUCAACUGUUAAAUCUUGAGGCUCAACUUCAAAAUCGCAGUCGAAACUAUUAGACUAGAGUAUAGUAGGGGUAAAGGGAAUUUCCAGUGGAGCGGUGAAAUGCGUAGAGAUUGGAAAGAACACCGAUGGCGAAGGCACUUUACUGGGCUAUUACUGACACUCAGAGACGAAAGCUAGGGUAGCAAAUGGGAUUAGAUACCCCAGUAGUCCUAGCCGUAAACAAUGGAUACUAGAUGUUGAACAGAUCGAUCUGUGCAGUAUCAAAGCUAACGCGUUAAGUAUCCCGCCUGGGAAGUAUGCUCGCAAGAGUGAAACUCAAAGGA